ACGUCAGGGAAAGGAUUCUGUUGUCGGUCCCGCGCCCAGGUUCACAAAAUGGUGGACGCAGAAUCUGCUUGUG
rnacentral:pre_miRNA from 1 species